AAGCUAAGUAAAGCUCAGUUAUAUCAGAAGGAAGUAUCAGCUUUCUUCACAACAGCCAAAGCUGCAGAAAGAAACAACCAUGAAUAUGUACACAAACUACCCUUCUGCAUUGACAAUACCAUAGUAGCUAGAACAAGUGAUUCAACGAAGCUCCAACAAAAUCAAAUGUAAGAACAAGGAACCCCCUCAGAGAUCAUAGCACGAGUUCGAAAGAUCACGAGGCAGAUGAUGCUUAUAGUAAUUCAUACUACAGGUAAGACCAAAUAGACACCCAGAAAAACAGAUAUCCAGCAAUUGGAAAGGCAUGCAUAGCACGACCAUAAAUUCAUAAAAAGUUCAGCACUUUGACAAGGUUUCAGAUGUUGGAGCAUAUAAAGAAGCUACCAGUUGGGGGAAAUCGACAAUACCCACAAGCAAGCAAGCAGCAUUGACAAUAAUUCAACGUAUAUGUACACAAAAUACCCUGCUGCAUUGACAGUACCAGAGUAGGUAGAACAAGGGAUUCAACAAAGCUCAAACAAAAUCAAAUGCAGGAACAAGGAACGCCCUAAGAAAUCAUAACACAGCGACCAAAAGCUUAAAAGUUCAGCACCUUGCCCACAGUUGAAUGUUCUAUUGUUGUCAACUUUACUAUCAUUUGUUCUUUUUGUAUCAUCCUUCUUCGACACCCAUUAGCACUCUGCUGCUUCUGUUAUUGUCUGGCAUUUGUACGACAACUAUAGUCGUAUCAAAUCCAUUUGGUUUAUACAUAUAGUCAAAUCUUUUCGAAGGGAGAGGAAUCACCCUGCCUGCAAACACUGGUGGGAGUCUGUUCAUGGCAAUCGGCUUGGAGGCUGAUGCUAUGGUGGCCUCCCAGAAGUUGGUUCAUAAUGCUGGUAGAUGAUUUAUGAUCUUGCCCCUGUCAAAGGGAGUUUCUGUCUUUUUCUUCACCAACAGCCAAAGCUACAUAAACAAGCAAUCAGGAACGCUAAAGUCUUCAAUAAUUCUACAAACUACCCUACUGCGUUGACAAUACCAGAGUAGGUAGAGUAGAACAAGGGAUUCAACAGAGCUCCACAAAAAUCAAAUGUAAGAACAAGGAAGACCCUCAGAGAUCAUAGUACCAGUUCAAAAGAUCAUGACCCAGACGAUGCUCAUGGGCAAUUCAUACAAGUCUUUCCCACGCCACAACCAACAUCAUACUACAGGUAAGAACAAAAUAGACACCAGCAGAACAGAUUUCCAGCAAUUGGAAAGGCAUGCAUAACACAAGGACCAAAACUCAUAUAAAGUUCAGCACUUUGACAAGGAUCCAGCUAUCAGUUGGGCAAAGAAACAAUACCCACAAGCAAGAAUAAAAAGAGAAAGAUGCUAGUGAGAUAAAUCAAACAAUAUGUGCCCUCAGAUCAGUCCAGUUUAUGAAAAAUCACACAUGAGGCCAAACCGCUACCGCCGCCUGCAAAUAGUAAGAGCAACAGCAGCAGUUUACAACAUGGAUCAGAAGUCGGAAUCUGUGAACCGAUAAUAAUAAUAAUAAUAAUAAUAAUAACAAUGAUAAUAACAGCAGCAGCAGCAGCGAUGGCACAUUUGAAGAGAAGAAGAAGAAGAAGCUCAACAGAAGCAUUUCCAUGGAUCUAUCAUCAUCGGGCACAAUUAGUAAGGAGGGUAACUACAAACAGAGGAUUACUUCAGAACUUAGCCUACCAAAAGGAUCCAUUCGCCAUAGCGUAAGUGCCCAGGGAAUGCUGCGAUUGACGAGUGAAGGAUGUGCGAUGGAAGGCGGAACUACAAUUUGGCCCACUUAUUAUUCCCUUCUUCCUUUUUAGCCGUCGGAUCAAAUUCAAAAUCCACAAGAAUCUCGAGCAAAUAUGAUUUGUUCAUGUAGGUUGAGAUAUAUGGAUAUGGUUCGCCGGUCCAAUUCGGAUGGGAUGGUUGGGCUUUAAUCGAAG
rnacentral:lncRNA from 1 species